AGGCUCGUUGGUCUAGGGGUAUGAUUCCUGCUUCGGGUGCAGGAGGUCCCGGGUUCAAAUCCCGGGGAGCCCU
rnacentral:tRNA from 1 species